rnacentral:rRNA from 1 species
AGAUUGAACGCUGGCGGCAGGCCUAACACAUGCAAGUCGAGCGGCAGCACGGGUACUUGUACCUGGUGGCGAGCGGCGGACGGGUGAGUAAUGCCUAGGAAUCUGCCUGGUAGUGGGGGAUAACGCUCGGAAACGGACGCUAAUACCGCAUACGUCCUACGGGAGAAAGCAGGGGACCUUCGGGCCUUGCGCUAUCAGAUGAGCCUAGGUCGGAUUAGCUAGUUGGUGAGGUAAUGGCUCACCAAGGCGACGAUCCGUAACUGGUCUGAGAGGAUGAUCAGUCACACUGGAACUGAGACACGGUCCAGACUCCUACGGGAGGCAGCAGUGGGGAAUAUUGGACAAUGGGCGAAAGCCUGAUCCAGCCAUGCCGCGUGUGUGAAGAAGGUCUUCGGAUUGUAAAGCACUUUAAGUUGGAGGAAGGCAGUUACCUAAUACGUAUCUGUGUUGACGUUACCGACAGAAUAAGCACCGGCUAACUCUGUG